AACGAACGCUGGCGGCAGGCCUAACACAUGCAAGUCGAACGCAUCGCAAGAUGAGUGGCGCACGGGUGAGUAACACGUGGGAAUGUAUCCUUUGGUUCGGAAUAACGUCUGGAAACGGACGCUAAUACCGGAUGAGCCCUUAGGGGGAAAGAUUUAUCGCCGAAGGAGCAGCCCGCGUCUGAUUAGGUAGUUGGUGGGGUAAAGGCCUACCAAGCCGACGAUCAGUAGCUGGUCUGAGAGGAUGAUCAGCCACACUGGGACUGAGACACGGCCCAGACUCCUACGGGAGGCAGCAGUGGGGAAUAUUGGACAAUGGGCGCAAGCCUGAUCCAGCCAUGCCGCGUGUGUGAUGAAGGCCUUCGGGUUGUAAAGCUCUUUCGCACACGACGAUGAUGACGGUAGUGUGAGAAGAAGCCCCGGCUAACUUCGUGCCAGCAGCCGCGGUAAUAC
rnacentral:rRNA from 1 species